rnacentral:ncRNA from 2 species
UUCAUCAACCCGCUGUCGGGUGCCCGUUCGUCCACGGGAGAAUCGGGAAUGCGGUGGGGUGAUCGAUCAAGGAUCACCGAGUCCGCAACGCGCCCAGCGCUGUGAGGGGGAUCGCGCAGACAUCGAGCCACUGCCAUGGGCGGGAAGGCGUCCGCGCGGGACGAACCCGAGUCAGAAGACCGGCCCGACAGUUUCUUUGCAC